rnacentral:rRNA from 1 species
CCCUUAGAUGUUCUGGGCCGCACGCGUGCUACACUGAACGGUUCAAUGGGUAAGGUAGUGCGAAAGCAUGACCUAAUCUCGAAAUCCGUUCGUGCUGGGGAUAGAAGCUUGCAAUUAUCCUUCUUGAACGAGGAAUACCUUGUAAGCGUGAGUCAUCAUCUCACGCUGAAUACGUCCCUGCCCUUUGUACACACCGCCCGUCGCUCCUACCGAUUGAGUGUUCCGGUGAGGCUUUGGGAGAAUGGCCUCAACAUGAGUUUAUCGUGUUUUGCCGUUUGAACUUAGUCAAACCUUAUCACUUAGAGGAAGGAGAAGUUGUAACA